GAUGAACGCUGGCGGCGUGCCUAAUACAUGCAAGUCGAGCGAACAGACGAGGAGCUUGCUCCUCUGACGUUAGCGGCGGACGGGUGAGUAACACGUGGAUAACCUACCUAUAAGACUGGGUUAACUUCGGGAAACCGGAGCUAAUACCGGAUAACAUGUUGAACCGCAUGGUUCAACAGUGAAAGACGGUCUUGCUGUCACUUAUAGAUGGAUCCGCGCCGCAUUAGCUAGUUGGUAAGGUAACGGCUUACCAAGGCAACGAUGCGUAGCCGACCUGAGAGGGUGAUCGGCCACACUGGAACUGAGACACGGUCCAGACUCCUACGGGAGGCAGCAGUAGGGAAUCUUCCGCAAUGGGCGAAAUCCUGACGGAGCAACGCCGCGUGAGUGAAGAAGGUCUUCGGAUCGUAAAACUCUGUUAUUAGGGAAGAACAAAUGUGUAAGUAACUAUGCACGUCUUGACGGUACCUAAUCAGAAAGCCACGGCUAACUACGUG
rnacentral:rRNA from 1 species